ensembl:lncRNA
UUGCUCACCUGGCCCACGAGAGCAUCACAUAGUUCCAGCUUUGGCCACUAGGAGCUCCUUCAGGUUGCCUCCUGAGUCCCCAUCCUUUUUGGAGCCAUUCCUUACUUUCUGGCAAUGCUUGGACUUUGCCUGACCUAGCCCUGGGAUCAGUCACUUCUUCAAGAAGCCCAGGUAUGUGUGUGGGUGGAGCCCUCUCUACCCCAGGCCCGAAGGAAGGAAAGAGGGUGUGGUGAGAAGGGCGGGCACUCCUGCCUCGCCCACUUCUCCCGCCCUAUUUUUCCCUUCAGGAAGGAUGUUGCUAACAGGUGCGGCGGGCUCUUCACGGACUGCGCCCCGCUGGAGCCUUGUCAGGACCCCCACUUGUGUUUGGGUACAGAGUUUGUACUCAGAGGGGCAUGGCUGGGUCUCAGAGCGUCACCAGAAGGGGAUACUUGCCAACUGACAAAGGUCAUUCUGGUAGUACUUGUUUCAGUUCUGACGUUUUAUCGGGCAAGAAUUAAAACGUGCAGCUCAAACUGGCUUAAGCUAAACACGUUUCAGCGACUCAACCGAAAAGACGUGGCUGGACCCCAGGUGCAGUUUGACGAGGCUUCUGGCUCCAUUUCUCCUCAGAAAGCAACAGCAACAUCAUCCCUCCCUAACUGGAAGACCAGCCACUCAACAUUGUAGACGUCAGCGCAGUGCGCCGCUCAUCUGCAGUGUCCGGGCGGGGCCGCACCCAGGCGGGAGGGGGAGCGGCGGGGGUCACGUGAUCCAGAUACGGCCAAUCAGGGUUCCAGCUGCCGCCGGAGCGCAAUGACGCAAACGCCUCUGCGCCGCCGGCGCCCCCAAUUGGCCGAGUCCGGGUCACGUGGCCGCGCCCUCGCCGCAAGGGCCGCUGGGAGGAUCGCUGGCUGGGACCUGGGUGUCUGAGUCGCGGGGUCAGUGGGGCCUUCGGUGCGGCGGGGCCGGGCGCACAUGUGGAGGUCACGCGAGUGCGGGCCGGGGGCGCGGCGGCUGGCCGCCGGCGCGGAUGCGGCGCCCGUCAGCGGUCGCCGUGUUGGUCGCACUUCUUUUUCGGGCGGCGGCGACGGCGCGCACCUGCCUGACGCGGAGCCGCGAGCGGGGGUUGGGGUGGCCGCGCACCCAUCGUGAGGGCCGGGACCGCGGGUCCGAAACCCGUCACCUCCCGCAGCUGCUCCGCAGCGAGCGUCACAGCGUCGCGUGCCCCGGGGCCGGAGGCCGGCCGUCGGGACCUCUGGGCUAAGGCGGAGCCGGCUGGAGAAACCUUGUCGCUGAGUUGUUGGGCGAUACGGCUGUCCUGGAGGGAUUUUAUAUGCCAAAGCGAAAUUCCUAACUUUGGUUUCGUCAUUAAUUGUCAUCAAGGAUUUCAAGCCAUGUGAAAUGUUCACAGUUGUUUCUGAAAGGUUAAUUCUACCUCUUUAAUCACGGGAAGAGGUACAGGCUAAACCACUUCCAUGAGAGGCCAUGAGAGGCGUUAGUUGCUAAAGGUGUCAUCACACACGAAGACCAAGGUCACCAGGAGGGUCGUUUCCAUUGGGUUUGCUCGCCACAGCCUUGGCAACUGGAGCCGGGCGAGCAGCGAGACCCAUGUGUGCGCGCUUGUGAAACCCCAGGUACGCAAGGCCUCAGACAAUUGAUCCGGAGGAUGAAGAUCCCAACUCAAACGCCUGUCACUGGGAGGCUGGAAAAGGGCCAGCGUUCUGCCCCAAACCCAGUCCCCCUACAGCAGUUUAAAAGGCCACUGUUGUCCCAUUUUACAUUUGCCAGUCUCACUGCCUUUCUUCACUCUCAGUCUUAGCCAAAACUGUCAACUCAGUUUGUAAAUAGAAAUAUGAAGGAAUUAAUGUAACCC